rnacentral:sRNA from 1 species
AUGCCACUUAGACUUAUUCGCCGCCUCUAUUCAACACUCAACAACCUUGCC